GACGAACCGAGCGAACGUUAUUCGGAAUCACUGGGCUUAAAGGGUGCGUAGGCGGGCACGCGAGUCAGGGGUGAAAUCCCACGGCCCAACCGUGGAAGUGCCUCUGAUACCGCGAGCCUCGAGGGGGAUAGGGGCGUGCGGAACUUCCGGUGGAGCGGUGAAAUGCGUAGAUAUCGGAAGGAACACCGGUGGCGAAAGCGGCGCGCUGGAUCACUACUGACGCUGAGGCACGAAAGCCAGGGGAGCAAACGGG
rnacentral:rRNA from 1 species